CCCAUCUUCUCCACUAAGAACUGUUGCUACAAACCUGGGACGUGGGUAGAAUGCAGUUGCCCACUCGUCUUAUAUAAUACAGACCCUUGCAUUCAAAAGUUCACCUCCAUAUGUAAUUUCCCAAUCACCUCCUUAGGCCACCGUCCCCAUCCCUUCUCCCCCCCUUUAACCUAAUUUUCAUUAGCAUAUCCCCAUAACCUGUUGGUUGGAUCAAAGUCAUGGUCAAAGCUUCUACUCGUCUAAUGAUUUGCCUAACUAAAGGACGUAGAUAAUUUAUUCAGGGGGUUCGGUCAUGGGGAUGUCAUGUCAUGCUUUUGGUGGAUUGCUGGCAACGAUUGGAGCUGAUGGCAAAGUACUUGUAUAGUAUGUUGAUGGUGGAUUCCAUACCCAUAUCUUUAUGGAUCAUAAAGGGGUGCUGGCUAGUGUUAUUUUCCAUCUUGACCCAGCUCGUCUGCUGGUACAUUUUAUGAUACGUUAAUAACCACUAUAUUGUGAUUAUAAUAGUUCUUUGAUCAUUGUUAGUAGCGUUGCACUUUUAAAUAUUUUUUACUGCUUGACAACAAAUUUUACUUAUUGUUUUCACUAUUAGCUUUUUUCUGGAUGCGAUGAUACAACUAUACAUGUAUGGGAUCUAACAAACAAGAAAUGUGUAGCAACUCUAGUAAGACAAUGUUCAAAAUGUGACUAGCAUUGCAAUUUGCAAUAGUAGAUGGAUGGACUCUUUUGAGUGGCAGCAGAGAUCAUGUGUUUUUUUGACUAUUUAUUUCCUGAUGUGGAUCUAUUGAUAUUAGCUAAUGUGUUUAUGUUAUUCUUGCUUUAGUUCGGAAUUAUUAUAUAAUUUCGGUUGUAAACUUGUGGAAUCUUCAUGACCACAGUUGCAUAAUGACAAUACCUACCAAGGAUGCAAUUGAAUUUGUAGGUGUUAUUGGUGCCACAUCUUCUUUUGCUUCAUGUCUACAAUACAAGAAAACUAGUGACAAGUCAGCAUUUCUAUUCCUCACUGUUGGUGACAUGAAAUUGUAUAGAUAUGAAAUUUUCAUGGAAUCGUAUGGAUAUGCAGCUUGCCCAUUUCAGCAUGAAUCUUCAAAUGUUACAGUCAGCAAAGAGGAUGAUGAGGAACCUAAAAAAGGUUUCACAUCAGCUGUGAUGUUGCCAUCUGGUCAAGGGUUGUUAUGUGCCACUACUGAUGAGGAAUUUCUUUUCUAUGCCGCAAUCUAAUCUCAAGAAGGAGGUUUUCAGCUGAUUUUUAACAAAAGACUUGUAGGAUACGAUGAGGAGAUAGUGGAUAUGAAGUUCUUCGGUGUUGAAGAACAGUUUCUUGCAAGUGUUGAACAUGCAAUUUACUCAACUUUUGUUAAACGGUUCUUUAUCAAUAUGAAAUUUGAUGGUUCAUUUGUAUUCUAAUGUUUUCAUUAUUGUAGGUGCGAGUGUGUGAUCUUGGCUCGAUGUCAUGUUCAUAUGUUAUGGCGGGGUACGCCGAAAUUGUAUUAUGUUUAGAUACGUGUACAAUAAGAUCUGGAAGAACAUUAAUUGUAACAGGUUGCAAAGAUAACAAUAAAUCAUUGUUGAUCAUAAAUCAGUAAAUUGCUGAUUUUGGUCUGGAAAGAGAAUAAUCAUUAACAUGGAUGAUGACUGCAGAAUUUGGGACCUAUCGUGAGGUAAUUAAUAAAUUGGGUUAACUUGUCAAGGUAACUUUAAAAGUCAAAACGGGCUGGGUUAGUUGACCCACAAAAACUUAUUCAUGUUUUAUAUAGAAUUACAUUAAUGGAUUAUGUACUAUGAUUAUGGAAGCUAUAUGGUAAAAAUGUAGUAUGAUUUUCUCAAUAAAACGUGUAACAUUUUAGAUACAUGUUGGUCGCUUUCAAACAUGUUCAACUUUUUUAAUACUGACUAUGUUUUGCUACUUUUUUUUUUAUUUUCUUCGUUCAUCCUAUUAGAGAUAUCCCAAAUCAAAUGCAUUUUUAGGUAACUCUUUUCCAAUGGAUUCUGCAUUAGAAACUAACUGUAAUGGUGUUUAUGUAGCUUUACCCAGGUAUAUUGAAGAAAUCAUUAUUACAGAGUAGAUGCCUACAGUUAUCCAUUGUUAAUUUAUUUUUGUCAACUUUAUACAUGGACCCCUUUCACAAAAAUAGGAAGAAACUGUCAGCCGAGUGUCAAACUGCCAAACGGAACACUGAACCGAACCUGACGACUUACUUUCAUUGGGUGCUUCACUCAGUUUUAACGGUUUAUAAAUGCCCCUUAUGGAGACCUUUAUUAACUACUCUUUCAUUGAUUUUAUCAUAGUAUUUGAUAUCGGAUUUUCAUACUAUUUUGAAACAAUCAAGAGACUCUCUAGAGCUCCACUUACAGCUGGUAUGGUUCUUGUGGAUAGACAUGCUGAUGGAGCUCAUCAUGUUCAUAGGUUAAAAUUAUAUUCAGUUUGAUAUAAUUUAUUUAGUUUUCCUUAAAACUAUAUUAGAAAAGAAAGUUGUUUGUUAUGGUUAUUUGAGUUAUUUUUGUUUGAUAGCCCGACCAUUGACCCGUUGUAUGAUUUGACAGUAAAAACAAGUAAUAUGAAGCUAACUCUUUCAAUAGAAGCCUGAUAAUGGCAGGUAUGUCUUAGCACUCGAGGUUGAGGAGUUUCUAGAAGCCCAAUCGAUUUCAAAAGUAGAUCACGGAUUCACGGUCAAGUUUAUUAAUUUGAAGUAAAGUGUUUUGUUAUGUUUUUUAACUUCCAGUGAGUUAUUAAUUUGAAGUAAAAUGUUCUGCACUAAUGCGAUAACAUGUUUUAAUGGUGCUUCUACUUUUUGUUGAAUAA